GACGAACGCUGGCGGCGUGCUUAACACAUGCAAGUCGAACGGAAAGGCCCUGCUUUUGUGGGGUGCUCGAGUGGCGAACGGGUGAGUAACACGUGAGUAACCUGCCCUUGACUUUGGGAUAACUUCAGGAAACUGGGGCUAAUACCGGAUAGGAGCUCCUGCUGCAUGGUGGGGGUUGGAAAGUUUCGGCGGUUGGGGAUGGACUCGCGGCUUAUCAGCUUGUUGGUGGGGUAGUGGAUUACCAAGGCUUUGACGGGUAGCCGGCCUGAGAGGGUGACCGGCCACAUUGGGACUGAGAUACGGACCAGACGCCUACGGGAGGCAGCAGUGGGGAAUAUUGCACAAUGGGCGGAAGCCUGAUGCAGCAACGCCGCGUGCGGGAUGACGGCCUUCGGGUUGUAAACCGCUUUCGCCUGUGACGAAGCGUGAGUGGCGGUAAUGGGUAAAGAAGCACCGGCUAACUACGUG
rnacentral:rRNA from 1 species